AUUGAACGCUGGCGGAAUGCUUUACACAUGCAAGUCGAACGGCAGCACGGGUGCUUGCACCUGGUGGCGAGUGGCGAACGGGUGAGUAAUGCGUCGGAACGUGCCGAGUAAUGGGGGAUAACGCAGCGAAAGUUGUGCUAAUACCGCAUACGCCCUGAGGGGGAAAGUGGGGGAUCGCAAGACCUCACGUUAUUCGAGCGGCCGACGUCUGAUUAGCUAGUUGGUGGGUAAAGGCCUACCAAGGCGACGAUCAGUAGCGGGUCUGAGAGGAUGAUCCGCCACACUGGGACUGAGACACGGCCCAGACUCCUACGGGAGGCAGCAGUGGGGAAUUUUGGACAAUGGGGGCAACCCUGAUCCAGCCAUCCGCGUGAGUGAGAAGGCCUGGUGUAAGCUCUUCAGCUGGAGU
rnacentral:rRNA from 1 species